GUACACAAAAAUGCACAUAUUGUGAGCUCGAUGAGUAGGGCGGGACACGUGGUAUCCUGUCUGAAUAUGGGGGGACCAUCCUCCAAGGCUAAAUACUCCUGACUGACCGAUAGUGAACCAGUACCGUGAGGGAAAGGCGAAAAGAACCCCGGCGAGGGGAGUGAAAAAGAACCUGAAACCGUGUACGUACAAGCAGUGGGAGCCUCUUUAUGGGGUGACUGCGUACCUUUUGUAUAAUGGGUCAGCGACUUAUAUUCUGUAGCAAGGUUAACCGAAUAGGGGAGCCGAAGGGAAACCGAGUCUUAACUGGGCGUUAAGUUGCAGGGUAUAGACCCGAAACCCGGUGAUCUAGCCAUGGGCAGGUUGAAGGUUGGGUAACACUAACUGGAGGACCGAACCGACUAAUGUUGAAAAAUUAGCGGAUGACUUGUGGCUGGGGGUGAAAGGCCAAUCAAACCGGGAGAUAGCUGGUUCUCCCCGAAAGCUAUUUAGGUAGCGCCUCGUGAAUUCAUCUCCGGGGGUAGAGCACUGUUUCGGCAAGGGGGUCAUCCCGACUUACCAACCCGAUGCAAACUGCGAAUACCGGAGAAUGUUAUCACGGGAGACACACGGCGGGUGCUAACGUCCGUCGUGAAGAGGGAAACAACCCAGACCGCCAGCUAAGGUCCCAAAGUCAUGGUUAAGUGGGAAACGAUGUGGGAAGGCCCAGACAGCCAGGAUGUUGGCUUAGAAGCAGCCAUCAUUUAAAGAAAGCGUAAUAGCUCACUGGUCGAGUCGGCCUGCGCGGAAGAUGUAACGGGGCUAAACCAUGCACCGAAGCUGCGGCAGCGACACUAUGUGUUGUUGGGUAGGGGAGCGUUCUGUAAGCCUGUGAAGGUGGCCUGUGAGGGUUGCUGGAGGUAUCAGAAGUGCGAAUGCUGACAUAAGUAACGAUAAAGCGGGUGAAAAGCCCGCUCGCCGGAAGACCAAGGGUUCCUGUCCAACGUUAAUCGGGGCAGGGUGAGUCGACCCCUAAGGCGAGGCCGAAAGGCGUAGUCGAUGGGAAACAGGUUAAUAUUCCUGUACUUGGUGUUACUGCGAAGGGGGGACGGAGAAGGCUAUGUUGGCCGGGCGACGGUUGUCCCGGUUUAAGCGUGUAGGCUGGUUUUCCAGGCAAAUCCGGAAAACCAAGGCUGAGGCGUGAUGACGAGGCACUACGGUGCUGAAGCGACAAAUGCCCUGCUUCCAGGAAAAGCCUCUAAGCAUCAGGUAACAUCAAAUCGUACCCCAAACCGACACAGGUGGUCAGGUAGAGAAUACCAAGGCGCUUGAGAGAACUCGGGUGAAGGAACUAGGCAAAAUGGUGCCGUAACUUCGGGAGAAGGCACGCUGAUAUGUAGGUGAAGCGACUUGCUCGUGGAGCUGAAAUCAGUCGAAGAUACCAGCUGGCUGCAACUGUUUAUUAAAAACACAGCACUGUGCAAACACGAAAGUGGACGUAUACGGUGUGACGCCUGCCCGGUGCCGGAAGGUUAAUUGAUGGGGUUAGCGG
rnacentral:rRNA from 1 species